ACGAAGGGGGCUAGCGUUGCUCGGAAUUACUGGGCGUAAAGGGCGCGUAGGCGGCCCCGCCUGUCCGGCGUGAAAUCCCGGGGCUCAACCCCGGGGCGGCGCUGGAGACGGCGGGGCUGGAGGCGAGGAGAGGGUCGCGGAAUUCCCAGUGUAGAGGUGAAAUUCGUAGAUAUUGGGAAGAACACCGGUGGCGAAGGCGGCGACCUGGCCUCGAUCUGACGCUGAGGCGCGACAGCGUGGGGAGCAAACAGGAUUAGAAACCCGUGUAGUCC
rnacentral:rRNA from 1 species